rnacentral:rRNA from 1 species
CCUACGGGGGGCAGCAGUGAGGAAUAUUGGUCAAUGGACGAGAGUCUGAACCAGCCAAGUAGCGUGAAGGAUGACUGCCCUAUGGGUUGUAAACCUCUUUUGUACAGGAAUAAAACGAGGCACGUGUGCCUUUUUGCGAGUACUCUAUGAAUAAGCAUCGGCUAACUCCGUGCCAGCAGCCGCGGUAAUACGGAGGAUCCGAGCGUUAUCCGGAUUUAUUGGGUUUAAAGGGAGCGGAGAGGGGGUGUUAAGUCAGUUGGGAAAGUUGGGGGCUCAACCGCAACACUGCCAGUGAACCUGGCAGUCUUGAGUAGAGUGGAAGGAGGCGGAAUUCGUGGUGGAGCGGGUAAAUGCAUAG